UACGAAGGGGGCUAGCGUUGCUCGGAAUCACUGGGCGUAAAGGGUGCGUAGGCGGGGCUUUAAGUCAGGGGUGAAAUCCUGGAGCUCAACUCCAGAACUGCCUUUGAUACUGAAGAUCUUGAGUUCGGGAGAGGUGAGUGGAACUGCGAGUGUAGAGGUGAAAUUCGUAGAUAUUCGCAAGAACACCAGUGGCGAAGGCGGCUCACUGGCCCGAUACUGACGCUGAGACGCGAAAGCGUGGGGAGCGAACAGG
rnacentral:rRNA from 1 species